AAAUGACGUGUACCUGAAGAAUAAGCACUCGGCUAACUCCGUGCCAGCAGCCGCGGUAAGACGGAGGAUGCAAGUGUGAUCCGGAAUCACUGGGCGUAAAGCGUCUGUAGGUGGUUUAGUAAGUCAACUGUUAAAUCUUGGAGCUUAACUUCAUAAUCGCAGUCGAAACUGCUAGACUAGAGUAUAGUAGGGGUAAAGGGAAUUUCCAGUGGAGCGGUGAAAUGCGUAGAGAUUGGAAAGAACAUCCGAUGGCGAGAGGCACUUUACUGGGCUAUUACUGACACUCAGAGACGAAAGCUAGGGUAGCAAAAUGGGAUUAGAUACCCCAGUAGUCUCUAGCCGUUAAACAAUGGAUACUAGAUGUUGAACAGAUCGACCUGUGCAGUAUUAAAGCUAACGCGUUAAGUAUCCCGCCUGGGAAGUAUGCUCGCAAGAGUGAAACUCAAAGGAAUUGACGG
rnacentral:rRNA from 1 species